GAAGCCGGAAUUGCUAGUAAUGGCAGGUCAGCAUACUGCCGUGAAUACGUUCCCGGGCCUUGUACACACCGCCCGUCACACCAUGAGAGUUGGGGAUACCCGAAGCCUGUGAGCUAACUUUAUAAGGAGCAGCAGUCGAAGGUAGAAUCAAUGAUUGGGGUGAAGUCGUAACAAGGUAGC
rnacentral:rRNA from 1 species